rnacentral:tRNA from 1 species
GCGCCGUUGGUCUAAUGGCUAGGAUUCAUCCCUCCCACGGAUGAGGUCGGGGUUCAUUCCCCGGCGGCGCA